GGGGGUAGAGCACUGUUUCGGCAAGGGGGUCAUCCCGACUUACCAACCCGAUGCAAACUGCGAAUACCGGAGAAUGUUAUCACGGGAGACACACGGCGGGGGCUAACGUCCGUCGUGAAGAGGGAAACAACCCAGACCGCCAGCUAAGGUCCCAAAGUCAUGGUUAAGUGGGAAACGAUGUGGGAAGGCCCAGACAGCCAGGAUGUUGGCUUAGAAGCAGCCAUCAUUUAAAGAAAGCGUAAUAGCUCACUGGUCGAGUCGGCCUGCGCGGAAGAUGUAACGGGGCUAAACCAUGCACCGAAGCUGCGGCAGCGACGCUUAUGCGUUGUUGGGUAGGGGAGCGUUCUGUAAGCCUGCGAAGGUGUACUGUGAGGUAUGCUGGAGGUAUCAGAAGUGCGAAUGCUGACAUAAGUAACGAUAAAGCGGGUGAAAAGCCCG
rnacentral:rRNA from 1 species